rnacentral:ncRNA from 1 species
CGGGGAUCAAGCCGCUCCCCGUCAGAUGACGUUCAUCCAAGCGCUGC